GAUGAAGUGUGGUUUAGUUUUUUACACUUCAAUUGAGCUUCCAUUUGUAUAAUUGCUGCAGCACAAAAGCCAAGAAACCUGCACGAAAUGCUCAUAAGGAUCAUGCGCGCCGUAAAGCUAAACGCGGACAUCCUGACAAGUAGAGUAUGGAGAGGCAUUUGGUUCUUUCUUCAUCAGCAGCAUGAGGUAUUACUGACAAAUUGCACAAUUUCCAAAUAUAGCACGAGUGGUUUAUUUGGUCAAAUGUGGUUGUAAAUGCAUUGGUUCGUUGUAUGUUCACAUGGUCAUAGAUGAGAGUUGGAACUUUGUGCAAGCAUUGCAUCGAUAGUUGCACAAUAUGAAUUGUUUUUGCGGCUUUCUUCCGGGGUGAAUGCUCACUCAGUUUGUUUUACAAAUGUGGAUUCCUGCAUGUGAUGUGGCUCUCUCCAGUUGUGAAGUCAUAUUUUCGUGAAUGAUCUUUCGGUUUUGAAGCAUUCUGCUUUUUGUUUACGUGAAAAACGAAAGCUUAGAAUAGUUUCCACAGGAAAGGGUGUAGUUUUUAGGGCAACUGAGAACUUCGUGUACUAUAUAUGCACUUUUUGCACAGUGUGUUUCACGUAGGGGGUGUAACUUAUACAUUUUUUUCUUCUAGAUGUUACUUGACAAUUCUAUUUAACAUAAGCUAGCUUCUCACUCCCGUUUACC
rnacentral:lncRNA from 1 species